GCUCGAGUGGUGGAAUGGUAGACACGAAGGACUUAAAAUCCUUUAUUCAGAAAUGGAUGUGCGGGUUCGACUCCCGCCUCGAGCA
rnacentral:tRNA from 1 species